GAGCCGCUAGCUCAGCUGGUAGAGCAACAGACUUUUAAUCUGUGGGUCGAUGGUUCGAAUCCAUCGCGGCUCACCA
rnacentral:tRNA from 1 species